GCAUCUGAUAGCGCAACGGAUAGCGCGCCGGAUUUCUACUCCGAGGGUUGCCGGUUCGAAUCCGGCCAGGGGCGC
rnacentral:tRNA from 2 species